rnacentral:rRNA from 1 species
GGGGAGUACGUUCGCAAGAAUGAAACUCAAAGGAAUUGACGGGGGCCCGCACAAGCGGUGGAGCAUGUGGUUUAAUUCGAUGAUACGCGAGGAACCUUACCAGGGCUUAAAUGCAUAUUGACAGGGCCAGAGAUGGCUUUUCCUUCGGGCAAUUUGCAAGGUGCUGCAUGGUUGUCGUCAGCUCGUGCCGUGAGGUGUCAGGUUAAGUCCUAUAACGAGCGCAACCCCUACCGUUAGUUGCCAGCAUGUCAUGAUGGGGACUCUAACGGGACUGCCGGUGCAAACCGCGAGGAAGGUGGGGAUGACGUCAAAUCAUCACGGCCCUUACGUCCUGGGCCACACACGUGCUACAAUGGCCGGUACAGAGAGCAGCCAUGUCGCAAGGCAGAGCGAAUCUACAAAACCGGUCACAGUUCGGAUCGGGGUCUGCAACCCGACCCCGUGAAGCUGGAAUCGCUAGUAAUCGGAUAUCAGCCAUGAUCCGGUGAAUACGUUCCCGGGCCUUGUACACACCGCCCGUCAAGCCAUGGAAGCCGGGAGUGCCUGAAGUCCGUCACCGCAAAGGAGCGGCCUAGGGCA